rnacentral:sRNA from 1 species
UUGGACCCCACACCAAAGCAUGAAUGUCACGUGUCGAAGAAUGCCAAUCGAAUUACAUCACUUUUGGCUUACAGAGCCUAUGAGCUUACUCAGUAUUAUUUUUAUGAGUAUGGCUUUGAUGAGCUAAGGCGAAGACCAAGACACGUUUGUCCAUAUGCAGUUGUGUCUUUUACUUACAAAGAUGAUAUACAAACUCCGAAGUUUGUACCUUCAUCAAGAUCUAACAGCUUUAAUACAGAUAGAAACAUAGACCUGAGAAAUUAGAUGUUGAAACAGUUAUGAGUAUUGAUCAUCUGAAA